GACGAACGCUGGCGGCGUGCUUAACACAUGCAAGUCGAACGGAAAGGCCCUGCUUUUGUGGGGUGCUCGAGUGGCGAACGGGUGAGUAACACGUGAGUAACCUGCCCUUGAAUUUGGGAUAACUUCAGGAAACUGGGGCUAAUACCGGAUAGGAGCUCCUGCUGCAUGGUGGGGGUUGGAAAGUUUCGGCGGUUGGGGCUGGACUCGCGGCUUAUCAGCUUGUUGGUGGGGUAGUGGCUUACCAAGGCUUUGACGGGUAGCCGGCCUGAGAGGGUGACCGGCCACAUGGGGACUGAGAGACGGCCCAGACUCCUACGGGAGGCAACAGUGGGAAAUAUUGCACAAUGGGCGGAAGCCUGAUGCAGCAACGCCGCGUGCGGGAUGACGGCCUUCUGGUUGUAAACCGCUUUCGCCUGAGACGAAGCGUGAGUGACGGUAAUGGGUAAAGAAGCACCGGCUAACUACGUG
rnacentral:rRNA from 1 species